rnacentral:tRNA from 1 species
GGCCUUAUAUUCAAUUAAUGAUUUUAGAUUGCAAAUUUAAAGGUGAAUCUUUCUAAGGCUU